UGGCAGUUUUGGGUCCAGAUGGACA
rnacentral:misc_RNA from 1 species